GAUGAACGCUGGCGGCGUGCCUAAUACAUGCAAGUCGAGCGAACGGACGAGAAGCUUGCUUCUCUGAUGUUAGCGGCGGACGGGUGAGUAACACGUGGAUAACCUACCUAUAAGACUGGGAUAACUUCGGGAAACCGGAGCUAAUACCGGAUAAUAUUUUGAACCGCAUGGUUCAAAAGUGAAAGACGGUCUUGCUGUCACUUAUAGAUGGAUCCGCGCUGCAUUAGCUAGUUGGUAAGGUAACGGCUUACCAAGGCAACGAUGCAUUGCCGACCUGAGAGGGUGAUCGGCCACACUGGAACUGAGCCACGGUCCAGACUCCUACGGGAGGCAGCAGUAGGGAAUCUUCCGCAAUGGGCGAAAGCCUGACGGAGCAACGCCGCGUGAGUGAUGAAGGUCUUCGGAUCGUAAAACUCUGUUAUUAGGGAAGAACAUAUGUGUAAGUAACUGUGCACAUCUUGACGGUACCUAAUCAGAAAGCCACGGCUAACUACGUG
rnacentral:rRNA from 1 species